AUGGUGUUGCUCCCCAGACUUUGGAUAAGACACUCGAAAUCAUGAAAUGGAUUUUAACUCUUUUGUUUGUUGUCUUUUCGCAGAUUCACAUAUUCUGAGUUGGAAGGGAUCCACAAGGAUCCUCGAGUCCAGCUCUCAAGUAAAUGUCCAGUACAGGGAUCACACCCACCACCUUGGUGUUACCAAUUCCACGUUCUAACCAACUGCAACUCCGGAAAAUUAACAAAUUUAACUACAAAUAUCCGUGUGUUCUGUCAAUGAACCCACACAUCACCAUGAGGAUAUCAAAACAUCCCAGCUGUAUGCUGCUCUGCUUGAGGAUUUUGAAGCACAGAUUGCCUGGUCUGGUGGAAAUAUUUGUGGUGGAACUAAAUAGGUGCAAGCUCUGCCAUUUCAUAAGCAGGAUCAGAAGUAAGAUCAGGAGACCCCUGGCUCAAAUCUGUGAAACUGAUAUGGCAUGUUGAAUUUCAGGCUGCCCUAAAAUGGACCAAGGUAAAAAUUAACUUUGGAGAUGAAAAGAAUGAAAACAAAGAAAAUCUUGCAAAAAAUUGCUCUCUUGUCACAUGUGUCUCAGGUGCCCUUAAAUAAGAGUCCUUGGCUGUUGUGACAUGAGCCCAAGCAUAAUCCUCAUGCAUCUCACUCCUGUGAAAUGAACACCUUAUUUGGAGAAGUAGCAGCUUAUUUUCAACUUGAGGAACCCUGCAGUGCUGACUUCUCUUCCAUUUCCAAGAGAAAGGUCAGAUAAACCCAGUCUAUGCCUCUUAGCAUCUGUCAUGUUUCCUGUGUUAGAACCCAGACAUUUGCUGAGGAAAUUAAAAGCCCCUAAGACUCAAUCAAGGUGUAAACAUCAUAGGAAAAUCAGUUGAAAAUCCAGUUGAAAGCUGGAUGUAUAGGCUCAACUCGCCCUAUAGAAGAUGCUCAUGCCUUAAAGCUGGGUUCUGAGAGAAAACAGCAUUUCUGAAUGUGUGGAAUGUAGCACUAGAGCCACAAGAUGCUGAGAAAAUCCAUUUAAAGGGUCAUGAUGUGGAUCAUAGCUUUAAAUGUGUUUAUUGUCACAUGACUGAGUAGAUCUUAAUGGAAAAUCAUUGAAAAUCACACAUGUGGAUAAAAGAAACCUUCCAGUGCUUCAUCUGUGAGAGUGCUUUUAUAUCACUUUAUAAAGUGCCUGGAAAGUGCACAGAAACAGCCAUCAGAGGAAACCUCAUCUCAGUGCACAUCAUCUGAAACUGAGCAGAUAAGCAAUUUUCAUGUAGCUUGCUUGGCAUUAUCAGGAUAUGGUUAUGUGCCCACACAGUGAUUUUACCAACCUUCAGAGUUACUGGCUUCAGGUCCAUCACAACAUCCUUACAUGUGUUGGUGGUGUCUUGACUGAACCACGCUGGUGCACACUGGAUUGGAGAGUCAGGUUAAAAAAACCCCAAACAGCACAACAAAUGAACAAACAAAAACCAACUCAAACAAAUUACUUUUCUUGAGAAGCUCUAUUUUAUGUGUGUGUCACAAACAUGGCACAGAAUGAGGAGCAAGGUUUAUUUUCACUAUAACUUUGUCUUUCAUCACCUGAAAGUUUCAUA